CGGGGUGUGGCUUAGAUGGCUAAAGCGCCGCGUUUGGGACGCGGAGAUCCCCAGUUCGAGUCUGGGCACCCCGA
rnacentral:tRNA from 1 species